GACGAACGCUGGCGGCGUGCCUAAUACAUGCAAGUAGAACGCUGAAGGAGGAGCUUGCUUCUCCGGAUGAGUUGCGAACGGGUGAGUAACGCGUAGGUAACCUGCCUGGUAGCGGGGGAUAACUAUUGGAAACGAUAGCUAAUACCGCAUAAGAGUAGAUGUCGCAUGACAUUUGCUUAAAAGGUGCAACUGCACCACUACCAGAUGGACCUGCGUUGUAUUAGCUAGUUGGUGAGGUAACGGCUCACCAAGGCAACGAUACAUAGCCGACCUGAGAGGGUGGACGGCCAAACCGGGAAUGAGACACCGCCCAGAAUCCUACGGGAGGGAGCAGGAGGGGAUCUUCGGCAAUGGAGCGAAGUCCGAACGAGCCACGCCGGGUGAGUGGAGAAGGGUUUCGGAUCGUAAAGCUCUGUUGUAAGAGAAGAAAGAGUGUGAGAGUGGAAAGUUCACACUGUGACGGUAUCUUAACAGAAAGGGACGGCUAACUACGUG
rnacentral:rRNA from 1 species